rnacentral:rRNA from 2 species
AGGUGUUGUUGGGUAGGGGAGCGUUCUGUAAGCCUGCGAAGGUGGCCUGUGAGGGUUGCUGGAGGUAUCAGAAGUGCGAAUGCUGACAUAAGUAACGAUAAAGCGGGUGAAAAGCCCGCUCGCCGGAAGACCAAGGGUUCCUGUCCAACGUUAAUCGGGGCAGGGUGAGUCGACCCCUAAGGCGAGGCCGAAAGGCGUAGUCGAUGGGAAACGGGUUAAUAUUCCCGUACUUGGUGUUACUGCGAAGGGGGGACGGAGAAGGCUAUGUUGGCCGGGCGACGGUUGUCCCGGUUUAAGCGUGUAGGUGUGUGUUCCAGGUAAAUCCGGUUCACUUUAACACUGAGGCGUGACGACGAGGCACUACGGUGCUGAAGCAACAAAUGCCCUGCUUCCAGGAAAAGCCUCUAAGCAUCAGGUAACAUCAAAUCGUACCCCAAACCGACACAGGUGGUCAGGUAGAGAAUACCAAGGCGCUUGAGAGAACUCGGGUGAAGGAACUAGGCAAAAUGGUGCCGUAACUUCGGGAGAAGGCACGCUGACACGUAGGUGAAGUGAUUUACUCA